rnacentral:rRNA from 1 species
CUGGGCUGGAUGAGUGGCGAACGGGUGAGUAACACGUGAGUAACCUGCCCUCUUCUUUGGGAUAACGGUCGGAAACGGCUGCUAAUACCGGGUAUUCACUGUCCUUCGCAUGGGGGGUGGUGGAAAGGUUUUUUCUGGUGGGGGAUGGGCUCGCGGCCUAUCAGCUUGUUGGUGGGGUGAUGGCUUACCAAGGUUUUGACGGGUAACCGGCCUGAGAGGGUGACCGGUCACAUUGGGACUGAGAUACGGCCCAG